rnacentral:lncRNA from 1 species
GUAUUAUAUAUAAAUGGCGAAAUUUCAGAUCAUUCAUCUGAUCUCUCUUUCUCUUUCUCUUUCUCUUUCUCUCUCAACACCUGUGAGCUUCUGAGAGUUGAAUAAAAUAAGAUGGAGAUAAGCUUAUAAAUACUCCCCAUGAAGGUUUUAGGUCUAGUCGCCGGCUCCAAUUAUCGAUUCGGAAUCUCUAUCAUCAAGAACUAUUUGAUAGGACAAGUGCUACUAUCCUAUUAAUAGAAUAGUACCUCUAGCCUAUAUAUAUAUAUAUAUAUAUAUAUAUAUAUAUA